GGAAUGGCCGUGCAACAGUGAUCAGCUCCAAGGCUGAGUCCCAGCUCCCCACUGAUAUUCCCUACCCUUCACCCAAACUAGCCAAGUCUGGCAUUUUUUUGGUGGCCCAGGUAGUUGGAGAGGUUGCCAUAUUUGCAGAACUCAACAAUAACCAUGAGUGGACCUGGUGAGAAGACACCAAGGGUCAGGGCAAGAGACGCUGUGAGGUGUGGCUGUGCCAUGGACAUCCACUGACAGAUGUAGAUGACUGAGGAUGCAGGGGACACUGUGGAAGUUGUUGGUGUCUGGGACUACCCAGCCUGGGCAAAACUCCUACACCGAGAACAGGUGUCUCCAUUCUGCCUCCCCAUGAGAGCUCCAGGGAAGAGAAGCAAGGUUGGCAGGAAACCCGUGGGGUCUGCCCAAGGGAACUGGACAACACAGCUUCAACCAGCAAAUAAAACAAG